GGCCAGACUCCUACGGGAGGCAGCAGUGGGGAAUAUUGCACAAUGGGGGAAACCCUGAUGCAGCGACGCCGCGUGAGCGAUGAAGUAUUUCGGUAUGCAAAGCUCUGUCAGCAGGGAAGAGAAUGACGGUACCUGACCAAGAAGCCCCGGCUAAAUACGUGCCAGCAGCCGCGGUAAUACGUAUGGGGCAAGCGUUAUCCGGAUUUACUGGGUGUAAAGGGAGCGUAGGCGGCAGGGCAAGCCUGAUGUGAAAGCCCGGGGCUCAACCCCGGGACUGCAUUGGGAACUGCCCCGCUCGAGUGCCGGAGGGGCAGGCGGAAUUCCUAGUGUAGCGGUGAAAUGCGUAGAUAUCAGGAGGAACACCGGCGGCGAAGGCGGCCUGCUGGACCGCGACUGACGUUGAGGCUCGAAAGCGUGGGGAGCAAACAGGAUUAGAUACCCCGGUACU
rnacentral:rRNA from 1 species